rnacentral:rRNA from 1 species
UACGAAGGGGGCUAGCGUUGCUCGGAAUCACUGGGCGUAAAGGGUGCGUAGGCGGGUCUUUAAGUCAGGGGUGAAAUCCUGGAGCUCAACUCCAGAACUGCCUUUGAUACUGAGGAUCUUGAGUUCGGGAGAGGUGAGUGGAACUGCGAGUGUAGAGGUGAAAUUCGUAGAUAUUCGCAAGAACACCAGUGGCGAAGGCGGCUCACUGGUCCGAUACUGACGCUGAGGCACGAAAGCGUGGGGAGCAAACAGGG